AGCAGCCGCGGUAAUUCCAGCUCCAAUAGCGUAUAUUAAAGUUGUUGCAGUUAAAAAGCUCGUAGUUGAAUUUCGGGAUCAAUACGUUGGUCGUGCUUUCGGGUACGUACUGGCGUCAUUGGUUUCUCUCUUCUGACGAACCAUGAUGUCAUUAGUUUGGUGUUAUGGGUAGUUAGGACUGUUACUUUGAAAAAAUUAGAGUGUUUAAAGCAGGCAUUAGCUUGAAUACAUUAGCAUGGAAUAAUGAAAUAGGACGUUUGAUCCUAUUUUGUUGGUUUCUAGGAUCGACGUAAUGGUUAAUAGGGAUAGUUGGGGGCAUUAGUAUUCAAUUGUCAGAGGUGAAAUUCUUGGAUUUAUUGAAGACUAACUACUGCGAAAGCAUUUGCCAAGGAUGUUUUCAUUAAUCAAGAACGAAAGUUAGGGGAUCGAAGACGAUCAGAUACCGUCGUAGUCUUAACCAUAAACUAUGCCGACUAGGGAUCGGAUGAUGUUAAUUUUUUAAUGACUCAUUCGGCGCCUU
rnacentral:misc_RNA from 1 species